CCUACGGGUGGCAGCAGUAGGGAAUCUUUCACAAUGGGCGAAAGCCUGAUGGAGCAACGCCGCGUGCAGGAUGAAGGCCUUCGGGUUGUAAACUGCUUUUAUAAGCGAGAAAUAUGAUGGUAACUUAUGAAUACGGAUCGGCUACCUACGUGCCAGCAGCCGCGGUCAUACGUAGGAUCCGAGCAUUAUCCGGAGUGACUGGGUGUAAAGGGAGCGCAGGCGGGAAGCCAAGUCAGCUGUGAAAACUACGGGCUUAACUUGUAGACUGCAGUUGAAACUGGUUUUCUUGAGUGAAGUAGAGGUUGGCGGAAUUCCGAGUGUAGCGGUGAAAUGCGUAGAUAUUCGGAGGAACACCGGUGGCGAAGGCGGCCAACUGGGCUGUAACUGACGCUGAGGCUCGAAAGUGUGGGGAGCAAACAGGAUUAGAUACCCUAGUAGUC
rnacentral:rRNA from 1 species